AUUGAACGCUGGCGGCAUGCCUUACACAUGCAAGUCGAACGGUAACGGGCCUUCGGGUGCCGACGAGUGGCGAACGGGUGAGUAAUACAUCGGAACGUGCCCGAUCGUGGGGGAUAACGAGGCGAAAGCUUUGCUAAUACCGCAUACGAUCUACGGAUGAAAGCAGGGGACCGCAAGGCCUUGCGCGGACGGAGCGGCCGAUGGCAGAUUAGGUAGUUGGUGGGAUAAAAGCUUACCAAGCCGACGAUCUGUAGCUGGUCUGAGAGGAUGAUCAGCCACACUGGGACUGAGACACGGCCCAGACUCCUACGGGAGGAAGCAGUGGGGAAUUUUGGACAAUGGGCGCAAGCCUGAUCCAGCCAUGCCGCGUGCAGGAUGAAGGCCUUCGGGUUGUAAACUGCUUUUGUACGGAACGAAAAGCCUUCUUUUAAUACAGGAGGGUCAUGACGGUACCGUAAGAAUAAGCACCGGCUAACUACGUG
rnacentral:rRNA from 1 species